rnacentral:lncRNA from 1 species
AGCAUCAUAUUACAAGCCAGGGGCCUCGAGGGCUCGAAUACAAGAGCUCGAUCAUAGAAGAGUCAGCAGAAGCAACAAUAUCUGAGUACAGACAUAAGUUAAAUAAGUUUGCCUUAAGAAGGCUAGCACAAAAGUAGCAAUGAUCGAAAAGGCAAGGCCUCCUGCCUGGGACAUCCUAACUACUCCUCGAAGUCGAACUCCACGUAGAAUCAUCCUCGGAAUCCUCUGGCUCCUGGACUCCAUCAUAUGAUCGCAGUAACCGGGAAAGGGGGAAAAAGAAGUAGGAAAGGAACCGUGAGUACUCAUCCAAAGUACUCGCAAGCAAGGAUCUACACUACAUAUGCAUUGGUAUCAAUGAAAUGGGUAGUAUCUAUGGACUGAACUGCAGAAUGCCAGGAUAAGAGGGGGAUAGCUAGUCCUAUCGAAGACUACGCUUCUGGUAGCCUCCAUCUUGAAGCAGUAGAUGAGAGUAGAUGGUAAGUUAACCAAGUAUCAUCAUAUAGCAUAAUCCUACCCGACGAUCCUCUCCUCGUCGCCCUGUGAGAGAGCGAUCACCGGGUUGUAUCUGGCAUUUGAAAGGGUGUGUUUAUUAAGUAUCCGGUUCUAGUUAUCAUAAGGUCAAUGUACAACUCAUGGUCGUCCUUUUAUCGAGGGACACGGCUAUUUGAAUAGAUAAACUUCCCUGCAUGGGUGCACCACAUUUUCCAACACGUUCGAUCCCCUUUGGGCCAGAUACACUUUCCUGGGUCAUGCCCAGCCUCGGAAGAUCAACACGUCGCAGCCCUACCUAGGCACAACAGAUAGGUCAGCACGCCGGUCUAAAUCCUAUGCGUGUAGGGGUCUGGGCCCAUCGCCCAUUGCACACCUGCAUCUUGCGUACACGGCCGGUGAGCAGACCUAGCAACCUCCAUUACAAAGGAAGUUGCGUUACGCGGUCCAACCCGGUGCGUGCCGCUCAGUCGCUGACAUUAAGAAGGCUUCGGAUAAUACCACGACGUCGAGUGCCCAUAACUGUUCCCGCAAAUUAGUAUUCGUCUCGUCGUUCUGAGCAACUUUCAUGUAUAAAACUUUUUCAUCCGAGUUACGGAUAUUUUUUAUGAUUUUUCAAAGAUUUAAACAACAUUCUGAAAAUCCCUGAAAUUUUGCUAAGUCUGAUAAUUCGACAGUUUUAAACAUCACUUAGCUAUUUUUCGGAGGCUAUAGCUAUUGUUCUACUCAUCCUAUGGAGUAGUGACUUAUAUCAAUCUUGAUCAAUUUUCUGUGAUCUAGAUGACAGUAACAAGUGCGGCUAUGUUAGCAUCCAUUUGCUUGAUCAAAACUUUGUUGGAAAAGUGCUACUGCAGCAUUUCAGUUUCUGUUUUUCUGUUAACAAAACAUAGCAAUUUGUAAUUUCAUUUGAGCCUCGUCAAGUGUACUACUCACUCAUAUUAUUUUUACUUCUGUUAAAAGUCGUUUAGUCGCUGUUUAAGGGCUGUCCAGAGGGUCAGUUAGUGUAUAAUUAGAAAAGCUAGCUACAUCUACAGUAGCUAGCAGUAGUACAGUAUAGAGGAGGAGCAAGCGGGCGGGGGCGCUGUAGUAGGGGAGGCAAGGUCGUGCGUGUAGCGACGGCAAGGUGAAGCGGGCGGCGCAGGUGACAGGGGGCACGGGCGCCCAGCGACGGGAGCGGCGGCCAGCGGGGAGUGGCGGCGCUAGGCGGCAAGGUAUGCGAGGAGGGAGGCGUGGGGACGACGGGCAGCGUCAGGCGGUUGCGGGCACGGGAAGGCGCUGGCAUGGGGGUACGACGCGGUCGGGCAGCAGCAGUCGGGGUUCGCGCGGCUGGGCGCGCGUGAGGCGUAGCUAGGGCGGCGAGCGCGCGCAGGCGGGCGGCUGCAGCAGCGGGAGGGACGGCCACGCGCAUGCCGGCGGUCGGGCUGACCGCGAGCUCAGCCGGAGCUCGCACGGUAUGGAACAGUAGGGUGCGGCGACGCACAGGUGAGCAUGCGUGAGGCCACGGCGGGGCGAGCACGGGGCUCGACUCGGAGCAUCAGCAGUACAAACGUACGUACAUACAUGUACACGCGAGCUCCGACGAGGUCGGGGACGGAGGCUACCGCAACGAAUCGAGGGGGAAAGCAGGGGGUAUCGGCGCGGGUGCUCACCAGGGAGCACAUGGUGGCUCUUCGAAUGAACGGGAGCGCAAGCAGCGGCGGGUCGACGACGAGGUAGAAGCGACGGCCGACGAUGGGGAUGGACGAUUGCGACGGCAUGAGGGCGUCCCCGCUCGCGCGACUUGUCGUAGAUGAAGAGGGUGAAGGUGUGCAUCUCCUGGACCUGCUAGAUAGGCGAGGGGAGGCCAGUGUCCGCGCCAACGUCAACGGCGCAGCCAUGGGAGCUCUCGGACGCGGCUCGAUUUGGUGGAGAAUGGCGCCAGAGGGGAAAAUGGAGGAAGCUAGGGUUCAUGGUAGAGAGAGGGGCGUCGAGGGAGGGCUCUUAUCCAGCUCUUCAACCAUGGGAUGGGCGGCAGCGCGACAUCCGCG